rnacentral:rRNA from 1 species
UACGUAGGUGGCAAGCGUUGUCCGGAUUUACUGGGCGUAAAGAGCGCGCAGGCGGUCGAUUUAGUCGUGUGUGAAAGCCCCCGGCUCAACUGGGGAGGGUCACGCGAUACUGAUCGACUCGAAGGCAGGAGAGGGUAGUGGAAUUCCCGGUGUAGCGGUGAAAUGCGCAGAUAUCGGGAGGAACACCUAUGGCGAAGGCAGCUCGCUGGGACGUUACUGACGCUGAGACGCGAAAGCGUGGGGAGCAAACAGG